UUGCUAACAUCCUUGCUCUUUUGGUCUGCUACUCCGUCAGGUCAGGCUUAACACUGACAAUAUUUACAUCAUGGAUGUGUCUCCAGACCCAAUUGUUUCCCUAGGUGUGGUAUUUAUAAGUUCUGGUGAUAGUA